rnacentral:lncRNA from 13 species
UGAGAACACACAUAAAUGUUGUGUGAUUGGAUUCUUACUACUAUCUUUCCAUCCUUUUGUUAAGGGUUAAUCAGUAGUCUUUUAACUAAAUUGUAAUCAUGUUGAGAACAAAGUCUAUGCCUUUAAUUUCUUUGCUUUCUAUUUUUAAAUAACACAAGUUGUAUUUGAGAUUCUGAGGAAACAUGUGCAGGUUUGUUCCAUGAGUAUAAUGCAUGAUACUGUGGUUCGCUGUAUGGAUCCCAUUACCCAGGUAGUGAGCAUAGGACCCAGUAAAUAGGUUUUCAGCCAUGCCCCUCUCCCUCCCUUCUCUAGCAGUGUCUGUUGUUCCCAUCUUCAUGUCCAUGUGUCCUCAGUAUAUAGCUCCCACUUAUAAGUAAGAACGUGAAGUAUUUGGUUUUCUGUUCCUGUAUUAAUUUGUUUAAAAUUAUGGCCUUCAGCUACAUUCAUGUUUCUGCAAAGGACAUGAUUUGUUCUUUUUAAUGGCUUCGUAGUAUUCCAUGGUGUGUUUGUACCACACUUCCUUUAUCCAAUUCACCACUGAUGAGUACCUAGGUUGAUUCCGGGUCUUUGCUUUUGUAAAUAGCACUGCAACGAACAUACAAGUACAUGUGUCUUUUUGGUAGAAUAAUUGACCCAGCAGUCCCAGCACUAGGUAUAUACCCAAAGGAAAAUAAAUCAUUCUACCAAAUGCUUUUAAUUACAUUUUAUCCUUUCUGUGUCUCAACAUAAAACAUAAAAAGAGUUUUGGAAAUUGUUUUUUUUUAAAUUGGUUGGCAUCCAGGGUAAGCAUCUUACUAGAGGUGAGCUUUUAAAAUUAGUUGGCAUCCAGGAUAGUUGGCAUCUUAUUGCAGGUUUUCUCUGACCUCCUCUUUUUCCUUCUUCACUUUCCUUUUUUCUUCCUCUUCACUGAUUUGCCUGCUCCUUCCCUCUCUUUCUUACUGCCUCCGCUGAGUGAAGAUGUCUGAUGUGACAGUGUAAUGGGAGCUCGCGCCUACCUCCAUUUAUUGAGUGAAGCUCAGCACUUUUUUUUUUUUGCAGUGCGGUGCAGUACCUCUGGGAAGGAGCAAUGUAACUUAAAACUAGCUGUGUCAAUAAGUCAAGAGACAGCUGAGCUCACUCUGAGCCUUUGGUGAUAUGCUGAGACGGAGAAGCAACAUCCAGAGACAGGUAAGUAUGAGCUAUCCAUCACAGAGAUUUAGGAUGACUUGGCGAGAAAGCAAAUGCAACUCGACUUAUUCUCUAUUUAAUGAAAUGUAAAUAAUAGAAAGAACUGGUUCGGGAGCCAGAAGCU